rnacentral:rRNA from 1 species
AUCCCGAAGCUAGAAGAGUUAAUUAGAAGGUGGUUAGUGUGGCAGAACUAUCAUAAAUUUUAGUUAGAGGCGAUAUGCUAUUCAAUUCUUGUAUAUCUGGUUUAACCGUUUAAAAUUUAAUUUUCUACUAAGUGAGCUUUAUCUUGGAAGAGUAAAAUAGAAGGGGAAGCUUUCUGUGGCUACGUGACUUUUAUUUGUUAUAUUAGAUUUAACAAUUAGAUUUAUAUAAUAUUAAAUUUUGUGCACUAAGCUUUAGGUUUAACUUUUAACUUCUUAUUCUAGGAGACAAUAAAUAUAUUAGUAAUAGGCUAUAAUAAAAAAUUAUUAAACUUUAUAUAAUUUACGUUUAAGAGCAAGUUGAAAUAGAACUCGGCAAAGCUAGUUUCGCAUGUUUAACAAAAACAUCUCCUGUAUAUUUUCAGGUACCCCCUGCCCUAUGAGCAGUUUAAAUGGCCGCAGUAUUUUGACUGUGCAAAGGUAGCAUAAUCACUUGCCCUUUAAUUAGGGGCUAGAAUGAAAGGGGCGACGAAAUCUAGACUAUUUAUGAAGAGAUAGAAGUUGACAUUUAGGUUAAAAGGCCUAAAUUUACCAAAGGGACGAUAAGACCCUAUAAAACUUUACCUUUUAGGCGAUCUAUUUAGGCAGGGUCUAAAGUCAAGGUUAAACUGGGGCGGUGUUAAUAAAAGCAAUUAAAUAAAAAAUAUCUAAAAUAGAUUUUAGGAACUCUCAGAGAAAGCGAACAAGUUACUUUAGGGAUAACAGCAUAAUGCCCCCAGAGAGUACUAAUCGGAGGGGGCGCUUAUGACCUCGAUGUUGAAUUGGGGUUCCCUGUAUAAGCAUAAAUAUACAAGGGCAGUCUGUUCGACUAUUAAACCCCCACAUGAUUUGAGUUCAGACCGGCGCGAGCCAGGUUGGUUUCUAUCUUUUGGAAAUUAGAGCUCGGGGUUGUACGAAAGGACCCUUCGGG